AACGCUAGCUACAGGCUUAACACAUGCAAGUCGAGGGGAAACGACAUCGAAAGCUUGCUUUUGAUGGGUGUCGACCGGCGCACGGGUGAGUAACGCGUAUCCAACCUGCCCACCACUUGGGGAUAACCUUGCGAAAGUAAGACUAAUACCCAAUGAUAUCCCACGAAGGCAUCCGAAUGGGAUUAAAGAUUUAUCGGUGAUGGAUGGGGAUGCGUCUGAUUAGCUUGUUGGCGGGGUAACGGCCCACCAAGGCUACGAUCAGUAGGGGUUCUGAGAGGAAGGUCCCCCACAUUGGAACUGAGACACGGUCCAAACUCCUACGGGAGGCUGCAGUGAGGAAUAUUGGUCAAUGGGCGAGAGCCUGAACCAGCCAAGUAGCGUGCAGGACGACGGCCCUAUGGGUUGUAAACUGCUUUUAUAAGGGAAUAAAGUGAGUCUCGUGAGACUUUUUGCAUGUACCUUAUGAAUAAGGACCGGCUAAUUCCGUGCCAGCAGCCGCGGUAAUACGGAAGGUCCGGGCGUUAUCCGGAUUUAUUGGGUUUAAAGGGAGCGUAGGCCGGAGAUUAAGCGUGUUGUGAAAUGUAGUGGCUCAACCUCUGCACUGCAGCGCGAACUGGUCUUCUUGAGUACGCACAACGUGGGCGGAAUUCGUGGUGUAGCGGUGAAAUGCUUAGAUAUCACGAAGAACUCCGAUUG
rnacentral:rRNA from 1 species